rnacentral:tRNA from 1 species
GCUGAUAUGGCCGAGUCGUUAAGGCGAGUGAUUUGAAUUACUCACUAUCACUUGGGCAUUGCCCGCGUAGGUUCAAAUCCUGCUGUCAGCG